GGCCCUGUAGUCUAGUGGUAAAACGUCGCCCUCACGUGGCGAAGUCCGCAGUUCGAUUCUGCGCAGGGCCA
rnacentral:tRNA from 1 species